rnacentral:tRNA from 1 species
CCUUCGAUAGCUCAGUUGGUAGAGCGGUGGACUGUAGCAGUAUAGCACUUGUGAGUGUGAGUACACUCGUGUGCAACCAGUCAUCCAUAGGUCACUGGUUCAAAUCCGGUUCGAAGGA